CUCUUUUGUUCUUCCAGACAGGAGAUGUAGGGUACAGGGAGAUAACCUAUGACGGGACUAGAACAAUCUCUCCUCGUCCCUAAAGAUAACCCCUUCCCCUUCCCAGAAGGCAUUGUGAAUUCCUUAGUCACCUGCCUCAAGGCCCCAGUUACUUGCAAACAAGUCUCAGUUGCUCAUCCCUUCCCUGCGCAUUCCCAGUCCAGCCCGUUCCUUUUUGCCUCACCAGAUGCCCCACCCGAGAGAGGGUGUUGAUGACUGGUGACUGCAUUCUCAAGGGGUCCACCAAGUAGGUAACAGCAUCGAGGGCUGUUCCACGUAAUUUUUCCCUUCUGAUUCUCUCCCCGUAGGGUGCCACACCUACCUUCACAGCUGAGGCCUGGGCCCUAGCUGUGUGCAGCCACAUGGGAGGCAAGGCUUGGGGCUCUCCAGUGAUAGCCCAGGGUACUGGACACACUGCUGACCUGGAGGCUGCCCUCAGGACAGCCCGAGCUUAUGCACUCAACCAGCUCUGACGAGGCCCACCCAGGACACAGAGGAAUAGAAGGCAGGCAAGCAUCUGGAGCCACAUAAUCUUCCCGGAGGCGGGAGCAGAGGACCAGCGGCUGGAGGCCAGGUCUCCGAGCCAAAGCAGGGCACCAGGGCCACUGAGAGGCGAGCAGGAAGAAGUGUGGAUUGAGGGGCAGCAACCCCAGCAAAUGGAAGACCUGGGCUGCUGUGGUUGGGAGCACCCAUUCAAAGUGUUUCACCGGCUGCAGACUCAGCUCAGUGGUUAAGAGCACUUGUUCCUAGAAGGGACCCAGGUUCGGUUCCCAGCAUCCACAUGGAGGUUCCCCACCCCAUCAGGCACCAGAAAUACAUGUGGUACACAGACAUACAUGUAGGCACUCGUGUAUACAGACACUCAUACAUGCAAAGUAAUAAAACAAUUUUUUUUUCUUUUUUUCGGAGCUGGGGACCGAACCCAGGGCCUUGCGCUUGCUAAGCAAGCGCUCUACCGCGGAGCUAAAUCCCCAACCCCAUAAAACAAUUUUUUUAAAAAAGUGUUUCACAGAGCAUUAGAAGUCCUAGAAAAGUCUGUCUGUGGGAAAAAGAGUGGCCUGCCCGUCUGUGCUUCCGGAGGCCCAAGGUGAGCUCCCAGCAGCCAUAUAUGGCUCACAGUCGCUUUUAACUCCACCAGCAGCAAGCCUGUUGCCUUUUUCUGGAUUCUGUGGCCUUUGCAAAUAUGUGACAUAAAAAAAAAAAAAAAA
rnacentral:lncRNA from 1 species